UAGCUGGUUGCUUACUUGUUUGUAUUCCCAGGUGAACUGUGAGCUCUUGGAAGCAAAGAAGUAUGUCUUUGAUGU
rnacentral:pre_miRNA from 1 species